AGCUCUGUAAGCGUAUACCAAAGUUGUUGCAGUUAAAACGCUCGUAGUCGGAACUUGGUGGGCGAGGCAGGGCGUCUUUGCGGACGGACUUGUAUCGGCCACCUUUGUGGAGGGGGGCUUAGUGGUACUUUAUUGAAUUGCUAAGUCGCUGCCACCGUUUACUGUGAAAAAAUUGGAGUGUUCAAAGCAGGCGUUUGCCUUGUACACAUUAGCAUGGAAUAAUAGAAUAGGACCUGGUUCUAUUUUGUUGGUUUGUGAGAUCUAGGUAAUGAUUAAGAGGGACGGUUGGGGGCAUUUGUAUUCUGCCGUCAGAGGUGAAAUUCUUAGAUUGGCGGAAGACAAACAGCUGCGAAAGCGUCUGCCAAGGACGUUUUCA
rnacentral:rRNA from 1 species